rnacentral:rRNA from 1 species
CCGGGCGCACGGGUGAGUAACACGUAUGCAACCUGCCUGCCACAGCCGGAUAAUCGGGAGAAAUUCCGUCUAAUACGGCAUAAUGCAUCGACGGGACAUCCUGUUGGUGCCAAAGGUUAAUUCCGGUGGCGGAUGGGCAUGCGUCGCAUUAGUUAGUUGGCGGUGUAACGGACCACCAAGACGACGAUGCGUAGGGGUUCUGAGAGGAAGGUCCCCCACACUGGUACUGAGACACGGACCAGACCCCUACGGGAGGCAGCAG